UUGGGUUAAGUCCCGCAACGAGCGCAACCCUAUUGUUAGUUGCCAUCACAUAAUGGUGGGCACUCUAAUGAGACUGCCCGGGUCAACCGGGAGGAAGGUGGGGACGACGUCAAGUCAUCAUGGACCUUACGCCUAGGGCUACACACGUACUACAAUGGUGCAUACAACGGGUUGCGAAACCGCGAGGUCAAGCCAAUCCCAAAAAAUGCAUCCCAGUCCGGAUCGGAGUCUGCAACUCGACUCCGUGAAGUUGGAAUCGCUAGUAAUCCCGGAUCAGCAUGCCGGGGUGAAUACGUUCCCGGGCCUUGUACACACCGCCCGUCACACCACGAAAGCUGGUUCUACCCGACAACGGCGGACUAACCCUUCGGGAGGUAGUCGUCUACGGUAGGGCUGGUGAUUGGGGUGAAGUCAUAACAAGGUA
rnacentral:rRNA from 1 species